rnacentral:rRNA from 1 species
ACACUCCUGCGGGAGGCAGCAGUGGGGAAUUUUGGACAAUGGGCGAAAGCCUGAUCCAGCAAUGCCGCGUGUGUGAAGAAGGCCUUCGGGUUGUAAAGCACUUUUGUCCGGAAAGAAAUCCUUGGCUCUAAUACAGUCGGGGGAUGACGGUACCGGAAGAAUAAGCACCGGCUAACUACGUGCCAGCAGCCGCGGUAAUACGUAGGGUGCGAGCGUUAAUCGGAAUUACUGGGCGUAAAGCGUGCGCAGGCGGUUUGCUAAGACCGAUGUGAAAUCCCCGGGCUCAACCUGGGAACUGCAUUGGUGACUGGCAGGCUAGAGUAUGGCAGAGGGGGGUAGAAUUCCACGUGUAGCAGUGAAAUGCGUAGAGAUGUGGAGGAAUACCGAUGGCGAAGGCAGCCCCCUGGGCCAAUACUGACGCUCAUGCACGAAAGCGUGGGGAGCAAACAGGAUUAGAAACCCGUGUAGUCCCAUGAU